GUCAACUUUGGUUCCUUGGGUAUUGCUGGC
rnacentral:piRNA from 1 species